ACUCACCUGCUAUUCUCCCAAUGGGCAUGGCGUGCUCUUCCGGUGGGGACAUAGAGACCAUGAUGUGGUUCAAAUCUUCCUCAUCACUGGAGGCACUGAGCAAAAGCUGUAACGACCACAGCAUACGAGACUCAUGGGAAGGGAAGGCCUAUUUCAUGAUUGCUGUAUGAUCUGAUGCCACGGAUUCAAGCAUCCUUCCUCACUGGGACAGCUAUCCUAGGACACUUACUUACUAUCCUAGAUCACUAAACGGUAAGAGUUCUAACCAACUAGAAAAAGGAAUGAAAGAUACGUCAGUAUCUUGCUGAAGACUGGUGUUCAGGCAACAUGGUAUCUCAGAUAUGACAGGAACAGGAAAGGAUUUAAAGCCAGCCACCAUUCACCUAAGAAAGAAAGAGGAGUUCCAGGUUCAAUACCGGCAGAGUGGCCCUCUCAACCCAAACUUCCUACAGGAAGACUUCACAGAAAAUGGAUGUAAUAAACUAAAAAAAAAAUCCAUGUAAAGAUACUGGACAAUGACUCCAAAUAGAUGAAAACACAAGGGACUUUAUUCUUAAAAUAUAUAUAUAUAUAUAUAUAUAUAUAUAUAUAUCUCCAUUCUCCAAGAGUACCCUCAUCAGUGACGGUACAAGGCAGUUUGAAGAUGAAAAGAACUCAUGUGAGCUGUCAGGAUGCAAGGAGGCAACAAAAAUGGAGAAACCUGCAGAAAGAAGCCUUAUCAAGGGCAGCAUACCAGAGAGAACUUCCAAAAGGGCAAGCUAAAGUUCUCUCACAUUCUUGUCUGACUCCUGAACAAUACACACCCCGGGGAGACGCAAAAGCAGGGGUUGUGUGGCUGAGAGGUACAAACAGAAGUCUGGGCUCCUGACCACUGUAGUAGAGAAACAGGUCAGAGCUAGAGACUCACUAAGUUAAAAGGCUCUGUCAACACUCCAGCAUGGCCACAUGUUAGUGUAGAAAGCCCUGUGUUACACUACAAAGGGUCCUUACUGAGGGCUAAAGGCAAAGCUGAGACAGAUUUGCCCCAGAAAAAAAUGUAAACCAGCUGCUACAUGAUAAAAGUGACUGGUUAAUAGAUCAACUGCCUGCAAGCGAAAGGGUCAACACUCUUCACAGGAAUAGAAUACAACCCGGAGUCUCUUUCAACGUGCUGACUGUAAAGUUCAGCCUCAACACAGCUUUUUCUAGACACAGAAGAUGUGACCUGUUAUUAAAAGGCCACCAACAGAAACAGAUUCUGUGGUAAUGAUGGGAUUAGCUAAAGAGACUUUAAAGGAAUUUAAGGAAGCUGUUAGCAUUUCAGGGACACCACAGUAAUAAUAAGUAAUGACAUACAGGAACUAUCAAAACAGAAACUUAGAAAACAAAAAUGAAGAUUCUAGAACCAAAAAGUACAAUAAACGAAAUGAAAGAGUA